rnacentral:rRNA from 1 species
GCUAGGGGUGACAGGCCAAUCAAAUUCCGUGAUAGCUGGUUCUCUCCGAAAUGCAUUUGGGUGCAGCGUCGGGUCAUUACGUCCCGGGGGUAGAGCUACUGGAUGCUUGCGGGCCCGUAUCGGGUACCAACAGCAACCAAACUCCGAAUACCGGUGACGCGUAUCCCGGCAGUGAGUCGGCGGGGGAUAAGCUUCGUCGUCGAAAGGGAAACAGCCCAGACCGUCGUCUAAGGUCCCGAAGCGUGUGCUAAGUGGGAAAGGAUGUGGAGUCGCAUAGACAGCCAGGAGGUUGGCUCAGAAGCAGCCACCCUUGAAAGAGUGCGUAACAGCUCACUGGUCUAGUGGUUCCGCGCCGACAAUGUAGCGGGGCUCAAGCACACCACCGAAGACGCGGCAGUAUUUUGUACUGGGUAGGAGAGCGUCCCAUGAGGGGCGAAGCGGCCGUGUGAACGCGCCGUGGACUUCAUGGGAGUGAGAAUGCAGACAUGAGUAGCGAGAGACGGGUGAAGAUCCCGUCCGCUGGAUGACCAAGGGUUCCAGGGCCACGUUCAUCGUCCCUGGGUGAGUCGGGUCCUAAGGCGAGGCCGACAGGCGUAGUCGAAUGGAUGAACGGGUCGAUAUUCCCGUACCGGCUUUCAGCCGCCAAAACCGAGGCUUGGAGUACUAACCUCCGGGUCCGGGCUUACUGCUCCUUCGGGGGCGGGAUGCCCUGGCCUGUUGGGACCGAUCCUUGUAGUAGGUCAGCGCAGGAGUGACGCAGAAGGGUAGCCGGCCGCGGAGGUGGUCUUCCGUGGUCAAGCACGCAGGGCGUGGGACAGGCAAAUCCGUCCCGCAUGGGUCCGAGGUGCGAUGAUGGGGGCCUUAUGGCCCGAUAUCCGGUGAUCCCGGCUGCCGAGAAAAGCUUCGGCGUCAGGCUCAAAGCCGCCCGUACCCCAAACCGACACUGGUGGUCAGGUAGAGAAUACCAAAGCGAUCGAGCGAAUCCUGGUCAAGGAACUCGGCAAAUUGCUCCCGUGCCUUCGGCAUAAGGGAGACCCCCUGCGGUGAUGAGCGGCGGGGGGUGGCACAGGCCAGGGGGUAGCGACUGUUUACCAAAAACACAGGAGCGUGCGAAGGCGCAAGCCGCUGUAUACGCUCUGACGCCUGCCCGGUGCCGGAAGGUUAAGAGGAUCCGUCAGCCUUCGGGUGAAGCGGUGAAUUCAAGCCCCGGUAAACGGCGGUGGUAACUAUAACCAUCCUAAGGUAGCGAAAUUCCUUGUCGGGUAAGUUCCGACCUGCACGAAUGGCGUCACGACUUCCCCACUGUCUCGACCAGGAGCUCGGCGAAAUUGCAGUACGAGUAAAGAUGCUCGUUAAGCGCAGAAGGACGAAAAGACCCCGGGACCUUUACUAUACCUUGGUAUUGGCAUUCGGUGUGGAUUGUGUAGCAUAGGCGGGAGGCCGAGAGGCGCGGUCGCCAGAUCGCGCGGAGCCGUAAGGUGAAAUACCGCUCUGUUCGCAUUGGAUGUCUAACCUCGAACAGUCAUCCUGUUCAGGGACAGUGCCUGGCGGGUAGUUUAACUGGGGCGGUUGCCUCCCAAAGAGUAACGGAGGCGCUCAAAGGUCCGCUCGGCCCGGUUGGCAAUCGGGUGUCGAGUGUAAUCGCACAAGCGGGCUUGACUGCGAGAUCGACGGAUCGAGCAGGGACGAAAGUCGGAGAUAGUGAUCCGGC